rnacentral:rRNA from 1 species
AUGCAGGAUCACCACCCAAUUGCGUUCUUAAGCAAAACCCUGGGGCCAAAACUGCGCUCUCUCUCCACUUAUGAAAAAGAAAGUUUGGCAGUGCUCAUGGCAGUUGAACAAUGGCGACCGUAUCUGUUGACCAAUGAGUUUGUCAUUCGAACGAACCACCGCAGCCUUGCCUGCUUGGAUGAGCAGCGGCUGACUACUCCAUGGCAACAAAAGGCGAUGACAAAGUUACUUGGGCUGCACUACCGAAUUGAGUAUCGGAAAGGGGCUCUGAUUCAGGCAGCGGAUGCACUAUCACGUCAUCCAGAUGCACUUGCAUGCGCCAUCUCAGUCUGUGUGCCGCGGUGGCUAGAUGAGGUGAAGCAGGGUUAUGCCCAGGACUCAAAAUGUACCAACAUGUUAUCAUCUGCAGAGGCAGGAGCAACUCUGGUUGGUCCCUUUAAAGUGCAGGAUGGCCUUAUUUGCUAUAAAGGGCGUCUGUGGAUAGGUAACAACACAUCUGUCCAGCAGAGAAUACUGCAGGAGCUCCAUUCCGGUGCCUUGGGAGGGCAUUCGGGCAUCCAAGCAACUUACAGCCGUGUCAAACAGCACUUCGCAUGGCCACAGCUCAAUAGGACAGUGAAGGCCUACAUAUCGGAGUGUUCAGUGUGUAAACAGGCAAAACCGGAGCAUGUGAAAUACCCGGGCUUACUGCAGCUGUUACCCGUGCCUAACCAAGCAUGGGAGAUAGUCACCUUGGAUUUCGUUGAAGGACUGCCAACCUCGAAAGGAUUCAACUCUAUCCUGGUGGUGGUGGACAAGCUCACCCGCUAUGCCCAUUUCAUACCACUUCGACAUCCAUUCUCAGCACUGCAAGUGGCUAAAGCCUAUAUGGAUAAUGUCUUCAAAUUGCACGGACCUCCAGAGGCAAUGGUUUCCGACCGUGAUCGAAUUUUCACCAGCAAGGUAUGGCAAGAACUUUGCAAGCUCACUCACAUCAAACUGAACAUCUCCUCAGCUCGGCACCCGCAAACGGAUGGCACAACGGAACGGGUGAACCAGUGUAUGGAGUUAUACCUCAGGUGCUUCGUGCACAAUUGCCCCAGCAAGUGGGUCGAGUGGAUUUCCUUGGUAGAAUUCUGGUACAAUACCUCAUAUCACUCUACUCUCAAGUCGACUCCGUUCAGGUAUUGUAUGGCCACAAGCCCCGAUUCUUUGCUAUCACUAAUGUGGCUGACUCAGCAGUGA